rnacentral:misc_RNA from 1 species
CUAUUUCAAAAAAAAAAAAUAUGGCAUAUUAGGGAUACAAGAACGUCGCAUCUGUUUCUGUUCCUCACAUUUUGCAACCAAUCAAAGAAAAACCCCAAAUCUGACACUUAAUUUGAUUCUUAUUAAGUGAAACACAAACAUAUCUUCUCAAAGCUAAUCUCUUGGAUGAAACACAAAGUCAGUCGACUAAUUUUCUUUGUUGGUAUCCAAACAUAGGAGAAUCAAACAUAAGCAAAAUAAAAAAGAAAAUGUCGGAUUUAUCUUUUAACUUCCAGCAUGUCCUUGGCAACCGAACAUUAACAGGUACAAUAUAACCUAAAGCUUGACAAUUCAAUCAAAAAGUUGUUCACCCAAAAGAAAAAAAACGAAUCUUGACAAAGCCAAUUACUUCAACGAAGCUCAGUUGACUUAACAAGCACAUUCUUGAAAAAGUAAAGAAAUCAAAUUUCCUACAUGUUUCCCACAUUUUCUCGACAAGAAAACAGAACAAAGACAAAAGAAAGAUUAAAAACAAAAUAGCUUUACACUAAAUUUCAGAGCCAAACCACUUGUACCAAGCCCAAUUGACUUGACAAAUACGUUCAACUUUGGCACAUUUUCUCAACAAACAAACACAUACCCAAAGAGAAAAAAUUAUAAAAAGAAAGAAAGCAAGAAAAAAAAAUCGAAUUGUUUAUACAUACGGUAGGGAAAGUGUUACUGGUGU